UGCAGAAGCCAAAGGUUCAACAAGAAUCAUUCCAAGUGGCAAAAGUGGUUCGUCAUUUCCCUCAGACAAAGCCAAUAGCUGCUGAUAACAAACAAAAUAAAACCGAGCUCUCUGAUGAUAUACUGGAUGCUGUAUUUGGGGGCUCGUAAUCCAUAUAUCGAUGAUACCUUCGACAUCCGGAGUCAAAGAGUACGUUAUAUGAUAAAAUCUUUGUUGACAUGGUCAUAUGAGGACUAUUUGUGUGCCUUGUUGGUAUGUUGAGGUGACAGGUUCAAUGAUUGAAUUACUCAUUUGGUCUUGUGUCUAAAUUUUGACCUUUUAUCUAGAAUUUUUAUGUAGUAGUCUUUGUUGAUGUUUGUAAGUAACUUCAAUAACUUUAGGUAUUCUAAUACCACCAUAAAAUUGAUUAAUUGAGAGUGAAGUGAUAAUGUGAAAACCGUCAAGAAAUUCCUAGCA